ACCCCAGGCGUGGAAAGAAGACCCUGUUGAGCUUGACUCUAGUCCGACUUUGUGAGGAGACAUGACGGGUGUAGAAUAAGUGGGAGAUGGGCUUCGGCCUGUCGCCAGUGAAAUACCACUACCGUCAUCGUUUCUUUGCUUAUUCAGUAAAACGGGAACAAUAUUUUGGUCCUAAGCACAUGCCGGCAUGCGUGGUUUCGCUGCGGGUGUCGGUAUCUUGGUCAUGCCAGAUGAGUCGUGACUUCGGUUGCGGCGUUUGAGUCUGGAUGUGAUGUGCGACCCGUUCUGAAGACAAUGUCAGGCGGGGAGUUUGACUGGGGCGGUACAUCUGUCAAAUGGUAACUCAGGUGUCCCAGGUGACACCAAAAUGCUUGUAGGAAAAAGGUAAUCGCCUCAUAAAGUGCACCUUCAUUAGGAGGAAAAACCGGCACUGUAGUAAAAUAUUCAACUGCAAAACAAGGGUAGUCCACAUGGGACGCGUGAUAAAAAGCGGGGUACACAGUGUCAUCAACAUCGACACCAUUACAUCAAAGUGGGAGGAACUGAACUGUUGAAUGAAUUCUCAAAGCAACAAACCAGAAUCAUUGUUUGAUGGAUAGUUUCUUAAGGCGGAAGGAGCGUAUCGAAAAGAUUUUGUGGAACGCGGAGUCCUAGGAAGUCAUGUCUUCCAAGUCAUGGAAAUCGAUGAGAUUUCUGUGCAUUCAAAAAGUUAUGAUAGCCUCUGAAGGAUGGUGGGUGGAAGGUAGACACAGAGCAAUGACUGGGUCUGGUUGCGCAAGCUACAACUGUCCCACUCUUCAAAGACCUCACCCCAGAAGAGAACACU
rnacentral:ncRNA from 1 species